GUCAAAGUUAAUUAAUUUUCCCGUACACGCGCUUAGUUUUGUGUUAUUGGCUCAGAUAUUUACGAAACAACUACAUUAUAUAUGUGAGAGCUAGAGACUGAAACGAAAAUACAUCCCUGGUUGUACCACACUCUGUCGUCGACACUUCCGAGCCCAGUUUUAUUCGGAAUGAGAGCGGCGGUUGCCGCCUCGGCAUCAUUGCAGGCGGCACCGGCCUUCCCUGCCACCCCUCGCCGCCCCAGAACUGUGGUUCUUUGUUCGCGGCGCUACUGCCGCCGGCGACCGAACCCAACAAACGAACGAGCGAGCGAGCGCUCAAUUCCGGGGAUUAAGUUCGCGGCGCAAUCCGCGCCCUGCCGCCACAGCAGCGAGCUUCGAGAACGAGGAAGUAGGGAAACUGGAAACCGCCACCGUCGUUCCAUCGUAUCCGCCCGAAUCCUUCUUUUUUCGGGAAGGCACGACCGACUGGCUUCGACUAACUGCGAACCAGCGGCCCGAAGAUAAUCCGCACCGUAGAAAACCAAAAAGGUGCAUUUUUCUGGCGAGAAGUGUCCCAUCUCGGAAACGUUACAAGAAAAACUUUUGUAAGAUUAACAAUAAAAUGAUUCUAAUUGAAUGA